rnacentral:lncRNA from 1 species
AAACGCUCCAUCUUGCGGGCCGAAGCGCGAGUGCUGCUCUGUGACAGCCUCCGGCCGCGGCCUUCCCAGCUGCUACCGCCGCUUUUCGGAUGGGCUGUGAUAGAUGGAGUAGCAGCGAAGACUGCUAGAAGAGCGUUUUCAGUCGGCCUUUAGUGAUUCGUAAAACCAAAUUAGCUGGUUUCUACUUGGAAGGGGUACAGAAGAUCAAACUCUCCCAAAAAGUAGAGAUUAAACAACAACUAAAGAUGGCGAAUCAUAGAAGG